UGCAGCUUAUUUUAUGAGAGGGGUAUAUAUGGAAAGUUUAAUCUGUAGUAAAUGAUUAAAAAAUUACGAAAAAAGAAAUCAGUAGGAUUGUUGAAAUACCAAUAACAGGAUGGCCAAUCCUUCAAAUAGUAAACUUUUUCAAGAGAAUCACAACAGUAAAUUCCAAUACAAAAAAUAAAUAAAUUAUCACACAGUGAACCAAAUGUAAGCAGUAGGAUACUAAAGACAGGGGUAACUUAGGAAAGGAUAAAAAAUUAGUGUAUUAAACGGAUUUUAUUUUUCUGUAAUAGAAGCAGUAUGAUAUAAAACAUAGGGGUAAAUUAGGAAAGAUCCAAAAUUUCAAUCAAACACACCUCGUAAAGAAUGCCACUUCCAUCCUUCUAUGCAGGAUAACUUUGUUAAGACCUGUAGAAACUUUCAAGUGAUAAGUUGUCCAGAAAAUAGCAAUAUACUUUCAUGUACAUUUUUCCUAUAUCAUCUUACUGUUAAAUUGUGUCCGACUACAACGUGCUACUUCGAAACAUUUACCUGUCAUUAUAUUGAAAAAUCUUUAUCGAUCCAUUAAGUUAGUGAAAGUUAUCAAAUUUUGUAUUGUAUUGGAUUACAAAUGUGGAAUGUGGAAAACCUUUUGUUUGUUAAUAUGGAAUGAACUACUCCAUUUCUGCUCAUAAACACAAAACACACAACCAGUCAUAAAUUUCAAACUUGAUCUCUAAAACUUAUUUUAAAAAAUGAACCUAAAAUGGUAUAAGCUAUUAUAACUUUUGGUAAUCGAAAAUCAUCAAAAAGGAGCGACCACUCUUACCUGUUAUAAAGGAAGUUAAAUAUAACAUGAAAUCUAGGAUGUGUCGCAUGAAUCUCCACCAAUUUAGUCUUCCUACUGCACUGCCCAAAUCAUAAUGAUAUUCAAAACUAAUCAAAAACCUCAUCACAGAUAACAAAUGUAUAUAUGAAUAUAGAAUGAAGAGAAUAAGUGAAAUCAAAUAGCCAGAAACACUGCACAAUCUGAAAUUAGCAAUAACAUGUGAUUUCUACCAAACCAACUGUCAUUUCUGGUGACCCAUUUCAACAAAGCUUCUGCCAAAGCUUCAUGGUUGUCUUCUUCAUGCCAAAGCUUCUGUUUAUCUACCAUUUAAUCCUUCCUAGGGGAUACAUACAUAUAUAUAUAUAUAUAUAUAUAUAUAUAUAUAUNNNN
rnacentral:lncRNA from 1 species